UUCUUUUCAUCUACCACCAUCAUGCAACAGGAAACACACCCAAAAAAAUAUCAGUGUGAAGAUCAUACGAACAAUGACAAAGCACAACAAAGCACCAAACCUCCUCUGGGUCCCUCUCACACUGAGUGGGCAGUUUGACCGGCCACACAACCGAACUUGAAGUUUUCAGGAUUGUGUUUGUUCAUUUCAGAAUCUCUCGCUCAGAUGAAGCUGAUUGAUCUCAGUGUCCUCUUGAUUCUGGCCUCCUAUUCAGAAGGUCAGAACUGGACUAUAAAUGUCAAAAGACAUCAUACCGUAACAAACGGAUCGGAUCUAUUCAUACCCUGCAAGUUCACCUAUCCACCAAAAGCAAAGAAUGGAGAAAAUGUUACUAUUGCUGCUGUUUCCUGGAAAAUUUUUGUCACUGGAGUUUUUGAAUGUGACGACAUAUAUCCCGGAGUAUUCAUUUCCCACUCGAAUGAGAUGUGCGUGAAGGAGGAGUACAGAAAUAAGACCAGACUCACUGGAAAUGCAGCCAGCGGUGACUGCUCCAUUCAGAUCCUCGACAUCAGGGACAAUGUGACAAGCCUAUUCGUGAGGGUUUACGGGAAGGGGGAAAGCUACAGUUUCUACAACAGUCAAGUCUCCAUUACUGUGAAUGGUCAGAAUUUCAGUAAAGCUUUUAAAUUAUGAUUUAAAACAUUUGCUCAAUGACCAAAAAUAUAACUAAUAUCUGUAUCUUUCUUCCAUAUGGCGAGGUGCUAUACCAGCCACUGAAAACCCACUCAGCAUUUACAAGUCUUGCAUUUUUCACAGCUGAAGCCUCAGAAACUGCAACCUUGAUGUAUACGAGCAUCUUUGUACCGACUGCUGCACUUCUGAUCAUUCUCCUUGUUGCUGGAAUUUUCUUUUGGAUGAGACACAAACGGUCACACAAUUUCACAAGGAAGGAUUCUGGAUAUUAUGCAAACUUCAGCAGAGCAUCAUCAGACCCACCUAAAAGAGAGAUAUCUGACAAAAAAGACAAGGAACUUCCUGAAGUGAAAGUUAUCGAUGAACCCGUGUACAUCAAUGUAGAGGCCCCAACAAAUGAGAUGGACCAAAGUAUGGAUGUCACAGAAAAUGUAUACGCAAAUGUAGAUUAUACAAAAAAAUAGAAAAAUUACAUGUCAAAACUGCACAUGAACUUUAUUUAAAAAGCCAUUUCUGUAUUCUGCAUUGUUUUGUGCACAUGUUCACACCUGUGUGUCUGAGUUUGAAGGAUGCAUGACAACAGGAAGAAAGAAGAAAUGAUGCAUUGUUUCUUCCAAGUGAUGAAAACUGCAAAACAAAGAACAGCAAAAGAGUUACAAUUGCUCUUUAACUGCUCAUUCCUGCAGUUUACAAAACAUUUACAUUCUUAUUGUUUGUUUACAGGGUUUAUUUUACAGUGUAGUGCAGCUUUAAUGUAGGAGAUAAUGAACAAAAUCUACAAUCCACAUUCAAACAAGGCCUCAGCAGCAUGAAAUACUCAAACCAAGACUGGAUCUUGCAGGUUUUUAGUGUUGUUUUCAUGAUAAUUCCCUCCCAAGCCAAUUUACAUGAGCUACAGUGAGGUACAGACAUAAAAAGCGACUUUUGUGCUAAAGUGUGGGACAAAUUCUUACUUGAUUUGUUCACUUCUGACGGCUGAAGUAACAUUCCAGUGCAGAGUGAAAUUGGGAAUGCAUUUUUGCACUAAAUAGAUUAUGAUUUCUACUCUUACUGUGAAGUUAUGCUUGAAAGGGAUGUCUGCAAAGCAAAAAUGUCUCUUUGUGUCUGCACAUGGGCGUUUAAAUAUUAUAGAAAGACUGACUUUAAAAAUGCUGAAGUCUCUCUAUCCAGUAUCCCUUGAAGUUCUCUCAAAAUAGAACAAAUUCCACAAGUCACAAUUUAAGUAUAAUGUUCAGCGAGAAUAGAAGAAAUACCAUGAAUGUAAAGGUGAUCUGGGGGUUGCUGCUUGUAGCAAGUUUUAAAUUCAUGAAGAAGACCAGGACAUGUGUCAUAGACAUUUAAUUAAAGUUGGUUUGUGUUUAUUUAACCUUAAUCUGACUCACCAGAUGUAGCUUGCGCAUAUAAAACUGCCACUAGCUGCAUGUUUUACGUAGCUUUCUCCUCCCCUUCUGCUAUCUAUGUGUUACUGUUUUCAAAGAUCUUGCAAUAAAGUUGCCCUUGUAUUUUUA